ACACAAUGAUGUUUGAAUUUCUUCGCCUGAAGACUUGUGUUGAUUAAUUUUAUGAGCUUUUUAACUCUGAGUGUC